rnacentral:rRNA from 1 species
UACGGAGGGUGCGAGCGUUGUUCGGAAUCACUGGGCGUAAAGGGCGCGCAGGCGGCUUGGUCAGUCAGAUGUGAAAUCCCACGGCUUAACUGUGGACGUGCAUUUGAAACUGCCUGGCUUGAGUACCAGAGGGGAAAGUGGAAUUCCCGGUGUAGAGGUGAAAUUCGUAGAUAUCGGGAGGAAUACCGGUGGCGAAGGCGACUUUCUGGCUGGAUACUGACGCUGAGGCGCGAAAGCGUGGGGAGCAAAC